GUUUAGACUUUUUUUGCAGGUCCCGAUGGCGAUUGCGGUCAUCUCAACUCCAGCUUCUUUGGCGUCGGUGGAAUUCUGCACCAACAACACUCAAAUCAGAUUUUAUGUUCAACACAUGAACAAUCUGAUUUUUAGGAUAAGUAUCUCCUACUUUUUUUUUUCUUCCUCUCUUCCUUUCUAUUUUUCUUUCCCUUUUCCUUUCUAUUUUCACUUU
rnacentral:lncRNA from 1 species